GAUGAACGCUAGCGGCAGGCUUAAUACAUGCAAGUCGUGGGGCAGCAGGUUUGUAGCAAUACAGAUGCUGGCGACCGGCAAACGGGUGCGGAACACGUACAGAACCUUCCUUUGAGCGGGGAAUAGCCCAGAGAAAUUUGGAUUAAUACCCCAUAGUAUAAUGAAGUGGCAUCACUUUAUUAUUAAAGAUUUAUCACUCGAAGAUGGCUGUGCGGCUGAUUAGGUAGUUGGCGGGGUAAAGGCCCACCAAGCCUGCGAUCAGUAACUGGUGUGAGAGCACGACCAGUCACACGGGCACUGAGACACGGGCCCGACUCCUACGGGAGGCAGCAGUAAGGAAUAUUGGUCAAUGGAGGCAACUCUGAACCAGCCAUGCCGCGUGGAGGAUGAAGGUCCUCUGGAUUGUAAAACUUCUUUUAUAUGGGACGAAAAAAAGGCUUUUCUAAGUCGUCUGACGGUACCAUAUGAAUAAGCACCGGCUAACUCCGUGCCAG
rnacentral:rRNA from 1 species